rnacentral:rRNA from 1 species
UGUUUGGAGAGUUUGAUCCUGGCUCAGGACAAACGCUGGCGGGGUGCAUGAGACAUGCAAGUCGAACGGGGUUGAGCGGGCUUGCUCGAUCAACCUAGUGGCGGACGGCUGAGUAACGCGUAGGUGACCUGCCCGGAAGUGGGGAAUAACUGCCCGAAAGGGUGGCUAAUACCGCAUGUGGUCGGCGAUUCGGUUCGCCGUGCAAAGCCGCAAGGCGCUUCCGGAGGGGCCUGCGUCCGAUUAGCUAGUUGGUGGGGUAAUGGCUCACCAAGGCGACGAUCGGUAGCUGGUCUGAGAGGAUGAUCAGCCAGACUGGGACUGAGAACGGCCCAGACUCCUACGGGAGGCAGCAGUCGGGAAUUUUGCCCAAUGGACGAAAGUCUGAGGCAGCAACUCCGCGUGAGGGACGAAGGCCUUCGGGUCGUAAACCUCUUUUCUCAGGGAAGAUACA